UAAAAUGAAACGUGGAGGGGCGCGCGCGCGCACUGACAGUGUCUCCACACUCUAAUAAAAGCGAAAGAAAGAAUAAAGGCAAUACGAAAAGCAAAGGGAUAGAAAGGGGGAAUGAAGGGAAGUGUGUGUUUCCUCUGCGCGUCUCUCCCAUUUCUUCCAAAUCCAAACCACACCUCUUUCUCUUCUUCUUCAGAUUCCAUUUCUAAACGUAGCUCGAUUCAUGCUCAAACUCACCACCAAGAGAUUCGCGUUUGCACCAAUCGCACUUGCCGCCGUCAAGGUUCCUUUCUCGCCCUCGAAAUUCUCAGCGCCCUCGCACCUCCCACCAUUGUCGUCAAUCCCUCCGGUUGUUUAGGCAAGUGUGGCGCUGGCCCUAAUGUUGCUGUUUUGCCCGAUGGAUUCGUCAUCGGCCAUUGUGGCACACCUGCUCGGGCUGCCGACCUCAUCAUCCAAUUAUCUGGCCGAGACUCAGAUUCUGUUGGUGUCUCCAAGAGUUUGGAGGCUCUUGCUCUGAGGAAGAGAGCUCAAUGUGAGUUGGAGGACGGGAAUUUCUCCCAGGCUGAGCUACUUCUUGCGCAGGCGAUAGAUUUAAUACCAUGUGGAGGUAUCCAUAUAAUAUUCAAGGACAGGUCCGUCGUAAGAUUGGCACUGGGGAAUCACUCUGGCGCCCUUGAAGAUGCAAAUGAAGCUCUAAGAGUAGCUCCUCAAUAUCUAGAGGCUUACAUUUGCCAAGGUGACGUAUUUUUAGCUAUGGACAAGUUUGACUCGGCUGAGAUAUCAUAUUCAACAGCUUUAGAAAUUGAUCCUUCAAUUCGUCGUUCAAAGUCAUUCAAGGCGCGAGUUGCUAAACUUCAGGAGAAGCUCAGUGCUGUGAGAACACAAUAAACCUGAGAUGUGGGUCGAGGAAGAAAAAUAAUUAAUGAAAAACAGUUCGAGACUCAGUCAUUCCUUCAGGGUUCAAGCGGAUUGUUCCAUGAGAUUAGUGUUCGUAAAUUAGCUUGGACAUUUAUAGGUAUAUAUAAAAAGGAUAGCCCCCAUCAUAGCUGUCAUAGACUCGUUCCACUAAUUACAUCACAACUAAAAACAGAUAAUAAGCAGCCCAUAGAUCUGGCCUUGAAGAUCUUCAAUUUUCUGGUUAAGUAGGUAUACCCUAUGAUCAUCUCGUAGCUUCAGCAUACAUCGUGCCAUCUCGCCUGCCUUCUGUUUCAUGAAAACAGACUCUGCUACCAACCCCUUGUUUUCCUCCAUCAACGAUUCCACCUUAUAUCCCAAUCUUGCAUUUUCAUUCAGUAAUAUCAGCCUCUCAGACUCCAACACAUCAAGCAAACUCUUCUGAAGCUCAAUCUUUCUUGACGAAUCACAGCAUUGCUUUUCCAGGGUGGUUACCUCAUUUGUAAGAAUGUCGUACUCCACAUUCUUGAUGACAAGCUCAGCGAUAAAAGCAUCGUUGUCUACCAUGCCAUAGUUUUUAGUUGAUGUUACAGAUACUUGUUGGUAGGACAGAGAGCUCUCCGCAUCAGACUCGAUCUGACUGAUUCCUGAAUCUUCGGCUCCAUCAAAAGAGUCGAGGGUUGAAGUAACAGAAGACUGUCUUUUGUGAUGUUUUGCAACGGUUUGGAUGUAGCGAUCGGAUAAGGUGGUGUAUGCAGUGUAUAGCUCUUGGAGAAGCGCCAGCAGUUGAGGACGUUUGUUGUAGUAAAAUUCUGCACGUUCAGCAAAAGAGUCCCCAACAUCGUCCUCUUCAGCAUUUUUCAGAGCAAGUAAACUGAUCCUCUGCUCCAUAUCUGUCAUAGGACAUUAUGUUUCAAGACAACUUAAAUUUAAAAGCCAAAGAAACAAGAAAAGUACAUUUUGUAGGUGCAUCAUUUUGGCCAUGAUUAACAAAAGUAAUAAUGAACUGCACGAACUGUUGCUCUUUUAA